rnacentral:rRNA from 2 species
GGGGCAUCGGCAGCUACCAUGCAGUCGAGCGGUAGAUUGCUUUCGGGCAUUGAGAGCGGCGCACGGGUGCGGAACACGUGUGCAACCUGCCUUUAUCUGGGGGAUAGCCUUUCGAAAGGAAGAUUAAUACCCCAUAAUAUGUUGAAUGGCAUCAUUCGACAUUGAAAGCUCCGGCGGAUAGAGAUGGGCACGCGCAAGAUUAGAUAGUUGGUGAGGUAACGGCUCACCAAGUCAAUGAUCUUUAGGGGGCCUGAGAGGGUGAUCCCCCACACUGGUACUGAGACACGGACCAGACUCCUACGGGAGGCAGCAGUGAGGAAUAUUGGACAAUGGGUGAGAGCCUGAUCCAGCCAUCCCGCGUGAAGGACGACGGCCCUAUGGGUUGUAAACUUCUUUUGUACAGGGAUAAACCUUUCCACGUGUGGGAAGCUGAAGGUACUGUACGAAUAAGCACCGGCUAACUCCGUGCCAGCAGCCGCGGUAAUACGGAGGGUGCAAGCGUUAUCCGGAUUUAUUGGGUUUAAAGGGUCCGUAGGCGGAUCUGUAAGUCAGUGGUGAAAUCUCACAGCUUAACUGUGAAACUGCCAUUGAUACUGCAGGUCUUGAGUAAAUUUGAAGUGGCUGGAAUAAGUAGUGUAGCGGUGAAAUGCAUAGAUAUUACUUAGAACACCAAUUGCGAAGGCAGGUCACUAAUAUUUAACUGACGCUGAUGGACGAAAGCGUGGGGAGCGAACAGGAUUAGAUACCCUGGUAGUCCACGCCGCAAACGAUGCUAACUCGUUUUUGGGUUUUCGGACUCAGAGACUAAGCGAAAGUGAUAAGUUAGCCACCUGGCGAGUACGUUCGCACGAAUGAAACUCAAAGGAUUGACUGGCGCCCGCACAAGCGGUGGAUUAUGUGGUUUAAUUCGAUGAUACGCGAGGAACCUUACCAACACUUCAUGACUAGUGACAGAUUUAGAAAUAGAUCCUCCAUUCGGCCAUUUUCAAAGUGCUGCAUGGGUGUCGUCAGCUCGUGCCCCUGAGUUGUUAGUUUAGUCCUGCAACAGCCGCAAUCACCUGUCACCUACCUUGCUACCAUUCAUUUGAGGACUCCUAGUGAGACUGGCUUACGCAGUAGACAGUAGUAGCGAUGACGUCAAUCAUCACGUCCUUACGUCUUGGGCCCUCACACGUAGUACAUCGACUGU